rnacentral:rRNA from 1 species
AUUGAACGCUGGCGGCAUGCCUUACACAUGCAAGUCGAGCGGCAGCGCGGGGGCAACCCUGGCGGCGAGCGGCGAACGGGUGAGUAAUACAUCGGAACGUGUCCAGUAGCGGGGGAUAACCUGUCGAAAGAUAGGCUAAUACCGCAUACGACCUACGGGUGAAAGCGGGGGACCGCAAGGCCUCGCACUAUUGGAGCGGCCGAUGUCGGAUUAGCUAGUUGGCGGGGUAACGGCCCACCAAGGCGACGAUCCGUAGCUGGUCUGAGAGGACGACCAGCCACACUGGAACUGAGACACGGUCCAGAAUCCUACGGGAGGCAGCAGUGGGGAAUUUUGGACAAUGGGCGCAAGCCUGAUCCAGCCAUGCCGCGUGAGUGAAGAAGGCCUUCGGGUUGUAAAGCUCUUUCGGCGGGGACGAAACGGUCCGUGCCAACACCACGGACUAAUGACGGUACUCGCAGAAGAAGCACCGGCUAACUACGUGCCAGCCGCCGCAGUAA